rnacentral:rRNA from 1 species
AGUGAACGCUGGCGGUAGGCCUAACACAUGCAAGUCGAACGGCAGCACAGUAAGAGCUUGCUCUUACGGGUGGCGAGUGGCGGACGGGUGAGGAAUACAUCGGAAUCUACUUUUUCGUGGGGGAUAACGUAGGGAAACUUACGCUAAUACCGCAUACGACCUACGGGUGAAAGCAGGGGAUCUUCGGACCUUGCGCGAUUGAAUGAGCCGAUGUCGGAUUAGCUAGUUGGCGGGGUAAAGGCCCACCAAGGCGACGAUCCGUAGCUGGUCUGAGAGGAUGAUCAGCCACACUGGAACUGAGACACGGUCCAGACUCCUACGGGAGGCAGCAGUGGGGAAUAUUGGACAAAGGGCGCAAGCCUGAUCCAGCCAUACCGCGUGGGUGAAGAAGGCCUUCGGGUUGUAAAGCCCUUUUGUUGGGAAAGAAAAGCAGCAGGUUAAUACCCCGCUGUUCUGACGGUACACAAAGAAUAAGCACCGGCUAACUUCGUG